rnacentral:rRNA from 1 species
CCUACGGGAGGCAGCAGUGGGGAAUAUUGGACAAUGGGCGGAAGCCUGAUCCAGCCAUGCCGCGUGAGUGAUGAAGGCCUUCGGGUUGUAAAGCUCUUUCGGCGGGGACGAUAAUGACGGUACCCGCAGAAUAAGCCCCGGCUAACUUCGUGCCAGCAGCCGCGGUAAU